CAAUGAUCAUGAAUUGAUCUCGUUCAUUUUGAUUUCAUCAUGAUUUGAUUGUUGUAGCUAGUAGAGAAUAGAUCUAUUUCAACUUUCAAGAUGGAAAGCUUGGAAAGACUAUAUUAGUAGUCCAUGACACUGACAAGUGACACUGUACCGCACUGCACUAAUCUCAGUGAUUUGAUAAUUAUGUAAGCAAUUGUUUUAAUCUAAAGUUGUCUAUGCAUGCAUUAUAUUUGUUUUUUGUGAAUUACGUCUUUAAUUAUCUAUUGAAUUUGUAUAUUUAACAAUAAUUUUAUUUUAAGUCAAGUUACAUCAUAAUAAUAUACAGCAAAAUAUUUAUUGUCCUUUAAUACUCAUCACUGUUUAAUAUCCAUCAUUGUCAUCGUAAUGGUAUUUUUGUGGGUGGCCAUAUUCAUACUCAUCCUUCACACA